AACGAACGCUGGCGGCAUGCCUAACACAUGCAAGUCGAACGAGACCUUCGGGUCUGGUUGCGCACGGGUGCGUAACGCGUGGGAACCUUCCCUUAGGUUCGGAAUACCUCCCCGAAAGGGGUGCUAAUACCGGAUAAUGUCUUCUGACCAAAGAUUUAUCGCCUUUGGAUGGGCCCGCGUUGGAUUAGCUAGUUGGUAGGGUAAAAGCCUACCAAGGCGACGAUCCAUAGCUGGUCUGAGAGGAUGAGCAGCCACACUGGGACUGAGACACGGCCCAGACUCUUACGGGAAGCAGCAGUGGGGAAUAUUGGAAAACGGGGGGAAGCAUGAUCCAGCAAUGCCGGGUGAGUGAUGAAGGCCUUAGGGUUGUAAAGCUCUUUUAUCCGGGAUGAUAAUGACAGUACCGGGAGAAUAAGCUCCGGCUAACUCCGUG
rnacentral:rRNA from 1 species